rnacentral:rRNA from 1 species
UACGUAGGGUGCGAGCGUUAAUCGGAAUUACUGGGCGUAAAGCGUGCGUAGGCGGUUCUCCAAGUCCGUUGUGAAAUCCCCGGGCUCAACCUGGGAAUGGCAGUGGAUACUGGCAAGCUAGAGUGCGGUAGAGGGUAGUGGAAUUCCCGGUGUAGCGGUGAAAUGCGUAGAGAUCGGGAGGAACACCAGUGGCGAAGGCGGCUACCUGGACCAGCACUGACACUGAGGCACGAAAGCGUGGGGAGCAAACAGG